rnacentral:rRNA from 1 species
AUUUAUUAAUUUAUUAAUUAUUAUUUUUUGUAAGAAUUUUUUGUUUUAUUAUUUUCAAGAAAGAAUUUUUUUUAUUAUAGUUUAUUAUGUACUGUGAGGGGAAUUUUUAAAGUUUUUAAAAGAAAAUUUAAUUUAUUGUACCUUUUGUAUCAGGGUUUAUUAAUUAAUUUUAUUUAUUUAUUUUUCUCGAAUUUUAAGGGGCUAGUUAUUAAUUUAUUUUAUUGUUAAAUAAAUAUUUUCAAUUUAUAGCUUGAAACGAAACAUUAUUCGUCUUGGAAUAUAUCUAGUUUCCUAGGAAUUAGAUUCAAUCUAUUUAAUUGAAGGGUUAUUAUUAAUUUAUAUUUUUCUUUUUAAUUAUUAAAUAUUUAAAGGGAUUAGCUUUUAAUUUUUUUAUAAUUUUUUUUUUUUAUUAUGUAGGAUUAGAAUUUUUCUUCAUUUGAAUUAUGUUUUAAUUUAAUAAUUUGUGUUAUUAUUUCUUUUUAUUUAAAAUUUUACUUGGAUUUUUUGAUUAAUUUAUAAUUUUUAGUAAAAAUGAUAAAAUUAGUAAUAAUAUUUGUAUUUAUUUAUUUUAUUUUAAUUUAAAUUAAGGAAUUCGGCAAUUAUAUUUUUCGCCUGUUUAAUAAAAACAUGUCCUUUUGAUUAUUAUUUAAGGUCUUGCCUGCCCACUGAUUUAUUGAAGGGCCGCAGUAUUCUGACUGUGCAAAGGUAGC